AGCGAACGCUGGCGGCAGGCUUAACACAUGCAAGUCGAGCGCCCCGCAAGGGGAGCGGCCGCCGGGAGAGUAACACGUGGGAACAUACCUUUUGGUUCGGAACAACUGAGGGAAACUUCAGCUAAUACCGGAUAAGCCCUUACGGGGAAAGAUUUAUCGCCGAAAGAUUGGCCCGCGUCUGAUUAGCUAGUUGGUGAGGUAACGGCUCACCAAGGCGACGAUCAGUAGCUGGUCUGAGAGGAUGAUCAGCCUCACUGGGACUGAGACACGGCCCAGACUCCUACGGGAGGCAGCAGUGGGGAAUAUUGGACAAUGGGGGCAACCCUGAUCCAGCCAUGCCGCGUGAGUGAUGAAGGCCUUAGGGUUGUAAAGCUCUUUUGCCCGGGAAGAUAAUGACGGUACCGGGAGAAUAAGCCCCGGCUAACUUCGUG
rnacentral:rRNA from 1 species